GUACGGCUAAGUCCCUUUAAACCGUGGCUCAGUUCAGAUCGUAGGCUGCAACUCGCCUACGUGAAGGAGGAAUCGCUAGUAAUCGCAGGUCAGCAUACUGCGGUGAAUACGUUCCCGGGCCUUGUACACACCGCCCGUCACACCAUGGAAGUUGGCCACGCCCGAAGUCGUUACUCCAACCCUUGUGGAGGAGGACGCCGAAGGUGGGGCUAAUGACUGGGGUGAAGUCGUAACAAGGUAGCCGUACCGGAAGGUGCGGCUGGAUCACCUCCUAA
rnacentral:rRNA from 1 species